rnacentral:rRNA from 1 species
GCUGAACGCUGACAGAAUGCUUAACACAUGCAAGUCAACUGGGGCGGACGGGUGAGUAACGCGUAAAGAACUUGCCUCUCAGUUAGGGACAACAUUUGGAAACGAAUGCUAAUACCUGAUUCUGUGAGAGAGGUUUGCGUCCCAUUAGCUAGUUGGAGAGGUAACGGCUCACCACGGCGAUGAUGGGUAGCCGGCCUGAGGGGGUGAUCGGCCACAAGGGGACUGAGACACGGCCCAUACUGCAGCGGGAGGCAGGGGUGGGGAAUAUCGGACAAGCGACCAACCUCUGUGCCGGCAAUUCUGUUAGCAUGAUGAUAUUUUCGUACUGUAAAGAGUUUCCAGUUAGGAAGCGGUCCCAUCAUAAGAAGUGACUGCUACAUACGAUCCAGCAGCCGCGGUAAUAC